GACGAGGUGGCCGAGAGGUUAAGGUGAUGGACUACUAAUCCAUUGCGCUCUGCGCGCGUGGGUUAGAAUUCCACUCUCGUCG